AUUCAGCAAGCCGGUUGUUUCAUUGCUCCGGUAAAUUUCUAAGGGAAAAAUGAUGUUUAAAAACAUAAAAAGGCAAAAAUCUCAAGUUUUAUUCUUCCACACCCAUGAGACAAUGAUCAGAGACUAAGAAUCGACAAGAAUUUUCACGAAAGGAGAGGAUUUGAGGUGAUAAACAUGCCGCUGCCUUUCGACUUGGACAAGCGGUGGGGAUCUGAUCGCAGGAAAGAUGACAAGGAUCACGACAAGAAGAAAGACCAUGAAAAGAAGAAAAAGUACAAGACCAAGACUGAGGAGCAGAUGGAUAAACAGAUUGAGGAGCUCAGUAGGCAACUACUGGAGGAGCGACAGACAACUAGAAGGUAGGACA